AAGUAUAUAAUAAUUACGAAAGCAAAAAAUUAUGGCGGUAUUUUAAGCUUUUCAGAGGAAUUUGCUCUUUAAUGGAUAAAACACCUAAAUCUUACUUAAAUUUGUUAAAUCAACUUGUAUACCACUAUUAAAACAAUUAUUAACUCUAAUUGUUAAUAUUUAAAACAUAAAUUAAUUUAAAUUAAGUCAAGGUGCAGUAAAAAUUUAAGAAUGAAGUGAAUUACAUUACUUUUAAGGGAAAUAAAAUUAAAUAAAGUUUAGGAUUUGAAAGUAAAAUUAAAAUAGAAUGUUAAUU
rnacentral:rRNA from 1 species